CCGGCGACCGGCGCACGGGUGAGUAACACGUAUGCGACCUGCCCCCCGCAGGGGAUAACCGGGAGAAAUCCCGACUAAUACCGCGUAACGCCGCGGACCUGCAUGGGUCUGCGGCCAAAGGAAGCGAUUCCGGCGGGGGAUGGGCAUGCGGCGCAUUAGCUAGUCGGCGGGGUAACGGCCCACCGAGGCGACGAUGCGUAGGGGUUCUGAGAGGAAGGUCCCCCACACUGGUACUGAGACACGGACCAGACUCCUACGGAAGGCAGCAG
rnacentral:rRNA from 1 species